CUGAAGGCGACAUCAUCUGUGUUUUGUCACGAUGGCGACCUCGGGCUCGGCGCGGAAGCGGCUACUCAAAGAGGCAGACAUGAGCACAGUGGAAUUCGAGACCAGCGAGGAGGUGGACGUGACCCCCACGUUCGACACUAUGGGCCUGCGGGAGGACCUGCUGCGCGGCAUCUACGCCUAUGGGUUUGAAAACCCUUCAGCGAUCCAACAGCGAGCUACCAAGCAGAUAAUUAAAGGGAGAGACGUCAUCGCACAGUCUCAGUCUGGCACAGGUAAAACAGCCACCUUCACUAUUUCAGUCCUUCAGUGCUUGGAUACUCAGGUUCGUGAAGCCCAGGCUCUGAUCUUGGUCCCCACGCGAGAGCUGGCCGUGCAGAUCCAGAAGGGCCUGCUUGCUCUCGGCGACUACAUGAACGUCCAGUGCCACGCCUGCAUCGGGGGCACCAAUGUGGGCGAGGACAUCAGGAAGCUGGAUUACGGACAGCACGUCGUCGCAGGCACACCAGGGCGCGUCUUCGAUAUGAUUCGUCGGAGAAGUUUAAGGACACGAGCUAUCAAGAUGUUGGUUUUGGAUGAGGCUGACGAAAUGUUGAAUAAAGGUUUCAAAGACCAGAUUUAUGACGUGUACAGGUACCUGCCUCCGGCCACACAGGUGGUCCUUAUCAGUGCCACGCUGCCCCAGGAAAUCCUGGAAAUGACCACCAAGUUCAUGACGGACCCAAUCCGCAUCCUGCUAAAACGUGAUGAGUUGACUCUGGAAGGCGUCAGACAGUUUUUUGUGGCAGUGGAAAGAGAAGAGUGGAAGUUUGACACCCUGUGUGAUCUCUACGACACACUGACCAUCACGCAGGCGGUCAUCUUCUGUAACACCAGGAGGAAGGUUGACUGGCUGGCAGAGAAGAUGAGAGAAGCCAACUUCACCGUGUGCUCG